rnacentral:rRNA from 1 species
UACAGAGAGUGCAAGCGUUAAUCGGAAUUACUGGGCGUAAAGCGCACGUAGGUGGACAAUUAAGUCGGAUGUGAAAUCCCUGGGCUCAACCUAGGAACUGCACCCGAUACUGGUUGUCUAGAGUAUAGUAGAGGGAAGUGGAAUUUCUGGUGUAGCGGUGAAAUGCGUAGAUAUCAGAAAGAACACCAGUGGCGAAGGCGGCUUCCUGGACUAAUACUGACACUGAGGUGCGAAAGCGUGGGGAGCAAACAGG